rnacentral:rRNA from 1 species
GUGCCAGCCGCCGCGGUAAUACGUAGGGUGCGAGCGUUGUCCGGAAUUACUGGGCGUAAAGAGCUCGUAGGUGGUUUGUCGCGUUGUUCGUGAAAACUCACAGCUUAACUGUGGGCGUGCGGGCGAUACGGGCAGACUAGAGUACUGCAGGGGAGACUGGAAUUCCUGGUGUAGCGGUGGAAUGCGCAGAUAUCAGGAGGAACACCGGUGGCGAAGGCGGGUCUCUGGGCAGUAACUGACGCUGAGGAGCGAAAGCGUGGGGAGCGAACAGGAUUAGAUACCCUGGUAGUCCACGCCGUAAACGGUGGGUACUAGGUGUGGGUUCCUUCCUUGGGAUCCGUGCCGUAGCUAACGCAUUAAGUACCCCGCCUGGGGAGUACGGCCGCAAGGCUAAAACUCAAAGGAAUUGACGGGGGCCCGCACAAGCGGCGGAGCAUGUGGAUUAAUUCGAUGCAACGCGAAGAACCUUACCUGGGUUUGACAUGCACA